UGGGGAAUUUUGCGCAAUGGGCGAAAGCCUGACGCAGCGACGCCGCGUGUGCGAUGAAGGCCUUUGGGUCGUAAAGCACUGUCAACCGAGACGAAAGCCUGGGGACUAAUACUCCCUGGGGUUGACGGUAUCGGUGGAGGAAGCACCGGCUAACUCUGUGCCAGCAGCCGCGGUAAUACAGAGGGUGCAAACGUUGUUCGGAAUUACUGGGCGUAAAGCGCGUGUAGGCGGCGUGUUAAGUCGACUGUGAAAGCCCAUGGCUCAACCCUGGAAGUGCAGCCGAUACUGGCAUUCUCGAGUCCCGGAGAGGGUGGUGGAAUUCCCAGUGUAGAGGUGAAAUUCGUAGAUAUUGGGAGGAACACCGGUGGCGAAGGCGACCACCUGGACGGGUACUGACGCUGAGACGCGAAAGCGUGGGGAGCAAACA
rnacentral:rRNA from 1 species